UAAACCGAAUAUGGUAAAUCCGCGAAUGGCUCAUUACAACAGCCAUAGUUUAUUGGAUCUAAUAUCCUACUUGGAUAACUGUGGUAAUUCUAGAGCUAAUACACGCACUCAAGCCCCGACUUCGGAAAGGGCGCAUUUAUUAGAACAAGACCAAUUGGCUUCGGCCAUCUAUUGGUGAAUCUGAAUAACUACGCAGAUCGCACAGGCUUGUCCUGGCGACAUAUCCUUCAAGUGUCUGCCUUAUCAACUGUCGAUGGUAGUUUAUUGGACUACCAUGGUUGUAACGGGUAACGGAGAAUUAGGGUUCGACUCCGGAGAGGGAGCCUGAGAUACGGCUACCACAUCCAAGGAAGGCAGCAGGCGCGCAAAUUACCCAAUCCCGGCACGGGGAGGUAGUGACGAAAAAUAACGAGACAGUCUUCUAUGAGGUCUAUCAUCGGAAUGGGUACAAUCU
rnacentral:rRNA from 1 species